GCCUCGUGCCCUCGUCUCGACGCCAUCCGGCCCUCGCCUCACCGCCGCCGUUCCUCGCGGCCUCGCCGGUCGCUGGCCGGAGCGGCGGAGCCCAGCCCGCCUCCCCUUCCCACUCGGCGCUAGCCUGGCCCUGCCGCCCGCCCGCCCCUGCCUUGACCCGGGCCGCCUGUCGCCUGGCCCUGCCGCCCGUCUCCCCCUGCCUCCGCCGGAGUCCGGCCCUCUGCCUCCCUGCAAAGCCGGCGGCCGUCGGUGCCGCUCAGGCGCUCAGUAGCCAGUCUUCGGCGGCAGCACCGCAGCAACCAGCAAGUGUGCAAAUCGAUUUAAGAAUUGUUAAAAAAUGAAGAGGGCCGGAGACAUUGUUUCUCUUUUCCAGAGAGAAGCUAUGAAGAUAGGGAAGAAGAAGAAGGCAGGGAGACGUGGGCAAAGAGCAAGCCGGAGAUGAGAAGUUUUCCUUGGAGUCAUUGAUCAAAUUAGUCAAGAGCUUGAAAA